UAGGGUUUGAUUCUGGCUCAGGAUGAACGCUAGCGGCAGGCUUAACACAUGCAAGUCGAGGGGUAACAUAGGAAGCUUGCUUUCUGAUGACGACCGGCGCACGGGUGCGUAACGCGUAUACAAUCUACCUUAUACUGGGGUAUAGCCUUUAGAAAUGAAGAUUAACCCCCCAUAGUCUCUUAGAGUGGCAUCACUUCUAGAGUAAAGGUUACGGUAUAAGAUGAGUAUGCGUUCUAUUAGUUUGUUGGUGUGGUAACGGCACACCAAGACUACGAUAGAUAGGGGCCCUGAGAGGGGGAUCCCCCACACUGGUACUGAGACACGGACCAGACUCCUACGGGAGGCAGCAGUGAGGAAUAUUGGACAAUGGAGGCAACUCUGAUCCAGCCAUGCCGCGUGUAGGAUGACUGCCCUAUGGGUUGUAAACUACUUUUAUACAGGAAGAAACACCUCUACGAGUAGAGGCUUGACGGUACUGUAAGAAUAAGGAUCGGCUAACUCCCGUGCCAGCCCGCCGCGGUAAUUCA
rnacentral:rRNA from 1 species